UACGGAGGGAGCUAGCGUUGUUCGGAAUUACUGGGCGUAAAGCGCACGUAGGCGGCUUUGUAAGUUAGAGGUGAAAGCCCGGGGCUCAACCCCGGAAUUGCCUUUAAGACUGCAUCGCUUGAGUCCGGUAGAGGAGUGUGGAAUUCCUGGUGUAGCGGUGAAAUGCGUAGAUAUCUGGAGGAACACCGGUGGCGAAGGCGGCGUUCUGGACUGCAACUGACACUGAAAGACGAAAGCCAGGGGAGCAAAACGGG
rnacentral:rRNA from 1 species